AGUGCUUGCACUCAAUUGGAAAGAGGAGUGGCGGACGGGUGAGUAACACGUGGGUAACCUACCCAUCAGAGGGGGAUAACACUUGGAAACAGGUGCUAAUACCGCAUAACAGUUUAUGCCGCAUGGCAUAAGAGUGAAAGGCGCUUUCGGGUGUCGCUGAUGGAUGGACCCGCGGUGCAUUAGCUAGUUGGUGAGGUAACGGCUCACCAAGGCCACGAUGCAUAGCCGACCUGAGAGGGUGAUCGGCCACACUGGGACUGAGACACGGCCCAGACUCCUACGGGAGGCAGCAGUAGGGAAUCUUCGGCAAUGGACGAAAGUCUGACCGAGCAACGCCGCGUGAGUGAAGAAGGUUUUCGGAUCGUAAAACUCUGUUGUUAGAGAAGAACAAGGACGUUAGUAACUGAACGUCCCCUGACGGUAUCUAACCAGAAAGCCACGGCUAACUACGUGCCAGCAGCCGCGGUAAUACGUAGGUGGCAAGCGUUGUCCGGAUUUAUUGGGCGUAAAGCGAGCGCAGGCGGUUUCUUAAGUCUGAUGUGAAAGCCCCCGGCUCAACCGGGGAGGGUCAUUGGAAACUGGGAGACUUGAGUGCAGAAGAGGAGAGUGGAAUUC
rnacentral:rRNA from 1 species